CUGGGAGGAUUGACAGAUUGAGAGCUCUUUCUGAUUCGGUGGAUAGUGGUGCAUGUCCGUUCUUAUUUGGUGGAGAGAUUUGUCUGGUCAAUUCUGAUAACGAACGAGACUCUAGUCGAUUAAAUAGGUGCGUGGUUUCUCUGAACCCUGCACCCUUCUUAGAGAAACAAGCGGCUCCUAGCCGCACAAAACAGAGCAAUAACAGGUCUGUGAUGCCCUUAGAUGUCCGGGGCCACACGCGCGCUACACUGAAGGAAGCAGCGUGUUUUUAUCUGUGUCUGUUAAGACAGUAAGCUUAGAAAAAAGUGGCUCGAGAAAUACAGAGGCCUAAUUGAAGUCCAUCGGAUUAUCCCCAAGCA
rnacentral:ncRNA from 1 species